CCUACGGGCUGCACCAGUGGGGAAUAUUGCACAAUGGGCGCAAGCCUGAUGCAGCCAUGCCGCGUGUACGAAGAAGGCCUUCGGGUUGUAAAGUACUUUCAGCGGGGAGGAAGGUGUUGCGGUUAAUAACCACAGCAAUUGACGUUACCCGCAGAAGAAGCACCGGCUAACUCCGUGCCAGCAGCCGCGGCAAUACGGAGGGUGCAAGCGUUAAUCGGAAUUACUGGGCGUAAAGCGCACGCAGGCGGUCCGUCAAGUCGGAUGUGAAAUCCCCGGGCUCAACCUGGGAACUGCAUUCGAAACUGGCAGGCUAGAGUCUUGUAGAGGGGGUAGAAUUCCAGGUGUAGCGGUGAAAUGCGUAGAGAUCUGGGGGAAUACCGGUGGCGAAGGCGGCCCCCUGGACAAAGACUGACGCUCAGGUGCGAAAGCGUGGGGAGCAAACAGGAUUAGAUACCGAGUAGUC
rnacentral:rRNA from 1 species